UACGUAGGGACCAAGCGUUGUUCGGAUUUACUGGGCGUAAAGGGCGCGUAGGCGGCAAUUCAAGUCAUCUGUGAAAUCUCCGGGCUUAACCCGGAACGGUCAGAUGAUACUGCUUUGCUAGAGUGCGGAAGGGGCAAUCGGAAUUCUUGGCGUAGCGGUGAAAUGCGUAGAUAUCAAGAGGAACACCUGAGGUGAAGACGGGUUGCUGGGCCGACACUGACGCUGACAGCGCGAAAGCCAGGGGAGCAAACGGG
rnacentral:rRNA from 1 species